rnacentral:rRNA from 1 species
ACGCUGGCUACAGGCUUAACACAUGCAAGUCGAGGGGAAACGACGGGGAAGCUUGCUUCCCCGGGCGUCGACCGGCGCACGGGUGAGUAACGCGUAUCCAACCUGCCUCUGACUGAGGGAUAACCCGUCGAAAGUCGGCCUAAUACCUCAUGGCAUCGUCUGCGGGCAUCCAACGACGAUUAAAGAUUUCAUCGGUCAGGGAUGGGGAUGCGUCUGAUUAGCUUGUUGGCGGGGUAACGGCCCACCAAGGCUACGAUCAGUAGGGGUUCUGAGAGGAAGGUCCCCCACAUUGGAACUGAGACACGGUCCAAACUCCUACGGGAGGCAGCAGUGAGGAAUAUUGGUCAAUGGGCGAGAGCCUGAACCAGCCAAGUAGCGUGCAGGAUGACGGCCCUAUGGGUUGUAAACUGCUUUUAUGCGGGGAUAAAGUGAGGGACGUGUCCUUCAUUGCAGGUACCGCAUGAAUAAGGACCGGCUAAUUCCGUGCCAGCAGCCGCGGUAAUACGGAAGGUCCGGGCGUUAUCCGGAUUUAUUGGGUUUAAAGGGAGCGUAGGCCGUGGAUUAAGCGUGUUGUGAAAUGCAGGUGCUCAACGUCUGCACUGCAGCGCGAACUGGUCCACUUGAGUGUGCGCAACGCAGGCGGAAUUCGUCGUGUAGCGGUGAAAUGCUUAGAUAUGACGAAGAACUCCGAUUGCGAAGGCAGCUUGCGGGAGCACAACUGACGCUGAAGCUCGAAAGUGCGGGUAUCGAACAGGAUUAGAUACCCUGGUAGUCCGCACGGUAAACGAUGGAUGCCCGUUGUCAGGCUGUUUCAGCCUGGUGACCAAGCGAAAGCAUUAAGCAUCCCACCUGGGGAGUACGCCGGCAACGGUGAAACUCAAAGGAAUUGACGGGGGCCCG